GGCUUGGUAAUUGGAAUGGGGGAGAGUUAAACGGACCAUCGAGUAUCCAUUGGAGGGCAAGUCUGGUGCCAGCAGCUGCGGUAAUACCAGCUCCAAUAGCGUAUAUUAAAGUUGUUGCAGUUAAAAAGCUCGUAGUUGGACUUGUGUGCGCUGUCCGCGGGUGGCCUGCGCCCAAAAGGGCGUUUCGGUUCGGCCCCGGUGGCGCCUUGAAAUCUGCAGCUGGGGGGACGUUGGCCUUAACUGGUCGGCGACCGCACGCCGGCUGCUCGGUUACUGUGAGAAAAUUAGAGUGUUCAAGGCAGGCAUUGGGUGCAAUUGAAUACAUUAGCAUGGAAUAAUAAAAUAUGGCUCCUGCCGUAUUUUGUUGGUUUUGACUGGUGGGAGUAAUGAUUGAUAGGGACGGUUGGGGGUGCUAGUAUUGAGCGGCCAGAGGUGAAAUUCAUGGAUUCGCUCAAGACUAACUUAUGCGAAAGCAUUCACCAAGGGCGUCCUCUUUAAUCAAGAACGAAAGUUGGGGGAUCGAAGACGAUCAGAUACCGUCGUAGUCUCAACCAUAAACUAUGUCGACUUGGGAUCGGCGGUAGUUUUUUCAUUAAGACACUGUCGGGACCACGGGAGAAAUCAAAGUGUCUGGACUCUGGGGGAAGUAUGGUCGCAAGGCUGAAACUUGAAGGAAUUGACGGAAGGGCACCACCAGGAGUGGAGCCUGCGGCUUAAUUUGACCCAACACGGGGAAACUUACCAGGUCCAGAGAUAUAGAGGAUUGACAGAUUGAAGCUCUUUCUUGAUCACUUCGGUGGUGGUGCAUGGCCGUUCUUAGUUGGUGGAGUGAUUUGUCUGGUUAAUUCCGUUAACGAUCGAGACCUCAGCCUGCUAGUGUAGUCGGCUGGAUUGCCUUUGGCGAUCCGCGAUUUCGACCUCUUAGAGGGACAAUCGACGCGCAGUCGAUGGAAGUUUGAGGCAAUAACAGGUCUGUGAUGCCCUUAGAUGUUCUGGGCCGCACGCGCGCUACACUGCUGGGCUCAGCGAGUUUUACUUGGCCGAGAGGCCCGGUUAAUCUUGUGAAAUCCCAGCGUGCUUGGGCUCGCCUCCUGCAACUGGAGGCGCCAACGAGGAAUUCCUAGUAGACGCAGGUCAUCAACCUGCAUCGAUUACGUCCCUGCCCUUUGUACACACCGCCCGUCGUUCCAUAAGAGUGAGGCAUCCGGUGAAUUCUCGGGAGAGCCUGGGCGUGGCCAGCAAUGGUCUGCUCGGGUUUGAACUUGCAUAAACUUGGUGCCUAUGAUUAGGGAAAAGUCGUAACAAGGUUUCCGUAGGUGAACCU
rnacentral:rRNA from 1 species